CCUUUCAUGGUUUAAUCGGGAAAACACCCGACUAUGGUGCGGUUGGAUCCGGUUCGAGCUCCGGUGAAGGCA